rnacentral:rRNA from 1 species
AUGAACGCUAGCGAUAGGCUUAACACAUGCAAGUCGAGGGGCGAGCACAAGGUAGCUUGCUAUCUGGGUGGCGACCGGCGCACGGGUGCGUAACGCGUAUGCAACUUGCCCUAUACAGGAGGAUAACCCGUCGAAAGACGGACUAAUACUGCGUAUGCUCACAGCUUGGCAUCAAGAAGUGAGGAAAGAAAUUCGGUAUAGGAUAGGCAUGCGUCCCAUUAGCUUGUUGGUGGGUAACGGCUCACCAAGGCAACGAUGGGUAGGGGAACUGAGAGGUUUAUCCCCCACACUGGUACUGAGACACGGACCAGACUCCUACGGGAGGUAGCAGUGAGGAAUAUUGGUCAAUGGGCGAGAGCCUGAACCAGCCAAGUCGCGUGAAGGAUGACUGUCUUAUGGAUUGUAAACUUCUUUUAUACGGGAAUAACAAGAGUCACGUGUGACUCCCUGCAUGUACCGUAUGAAUAAGCAUCGGCUAACUCCGUG